rnacentral:tRNA from 1 species
AAAAAUUUAGUUAAAAAAUAACAUUAGUUUGUCAAACUAAAAUUAUCAAAAUGAUAAUUUUUU